UAGGGAAUCUUCGGCAAUGGACGGAAGUCUGACCGAGCAACGCCGCGUGAGUGAAGAAGGUUUUCGGAUCGUAAAACUCUGUUGCCAGGGAAGAAAGGUUAGGAGAGUAACUGCUCUUAACGUGACGGUACCUGAGAAGAAAGCCCCGGCUAACUACGUGCCAGCAGCCGCGGUAAUACGUAGGGGGCAAGCGUUGUCCGGAAUUAUUGGGCGUAAAGCGCGCGCAGGCGGUUAUGUAAGUCUGGUGUUUAAUUCCAGGGCUCAACCCUGGGACGCAUUGGAAACUGGAUAACUGGAGUGUAGGAGAGGGAAGUGGAAUUCCACGUGUAGCGGUGAAAUGCGUAGAGAUGUGGAGGAACACCAGUGGCGAAGGCGACUUUCUGGCCUAUAACUGACGCUGAGGCGCGAAAGCGUGGGGAGCAAACA
rnacentral:rRNA from 1 species